rnacentral:rRNA from 1 species
CCUACGGGAGGCAGCAGUGGGGAAUUUUGGACAAUGGGCGCAAGCCUGAUCCAGCCAUGCCGCGUGCAGGAUGAAGGCCUUCGGGUUGUAAACUGCUUUUGUACGGAACGAAAAGGUUUGGCCUAAUAAGCUGAGCUCAUGACGGUACCGUAAGAAUAAGCACCGGCUAACUACGUGCCAGCAGCCGCGGUAAUACGUAGGGUGCGAGCGUUAAUCGGAAUUACUGGGCGUAAAGCGUGCGCAGGCGGUUAUGUAAGACAGAUGUGAAAUCCCCGGGCUCAACCUGGGAACUGCAUUAGUGACUGCAUAGCUGGAGUACGGCAGAGGGGGAUGGAAUUCCGCGUGUAGCAGUGAAAUGCGUAGAUAUGCGGAGGAACACCGAUGGCGAAGGCAAUCCCCUGGGCCUGUACUGACGCUCAUGCACGAAGACGGUGGGGAGGACAACAGGAGUAGUAUACCUACGGUACGUCCGACCGACCCUAACCGACUAGUCACUGGUUGGUUGGUUCGUUCUACU